GAAAACACUUUUAGACAUUGCCAGGAGACACAGAUAAGAGCUAAACAAGCCGAGAACAUUUCAAAGACGUGCUGGAACAAGCUCUGGAGGACGCAUGUUUUGCUGAAGCCUAAUAUUUGGAUGUACAUUCAAAGUGGAUGUAAGACUUGACCAAGGAAGACAUUCAUCUUCAUCUGUCUCCACUGACCAAUCAGUUAUCCCCAGUAAUAUGUGUCCAGAUUAGCUUUGGCACUUCAGCAGAUUUCUGUGCCUGUUCCGAGCUGGAA